UUCACCAUCUCCAAAGCUCCUCCAAAGGUGAUCAAUCAAAUCGUAUCGGAGACUCUGAUGCAUAUGUGGAGAUAUAAGUUUAUUAUGACGAAUCAUGUAAUCAGAGAGAGUCUGCCUAUCUUAGUGGUACUCGUAUGUAAUGCUUGGCUCUAGCUCAUAUUGUCUUGCUCUGGCCCUCCUGGAUCGUUGUGGACACAUAUCCUCAUCAUCAUAUUCCUCUUCAACAUAUUCGUACUCAUCCUCCACAAUCAUGUUGUGCAAAAUUAUACACGUCAUCAUGAUUGAG
rnacentral:lncRNA from 1 species